CCUACGGGGGGCAGCAGUGAGGAAUAUUGGUCAAUGGACGAGAGUCUGAACCAGCCAAGUAGCGUGAAGGAUGACUGCCCUAGGGGUUGUAAACUUCUUUUAUAAAGGAAUAAAACGAGGCACGUGUGCCUUUUUGCAUGUACUUUAUGAAUAAGGAUCGGCUAACUCCGUGCCAGCAGCCGCGGUAAUACGGUGGAUCCGAGCGUUAUCCGGAUUUAUUGGGUUGAAAGGGCGCGUAGAUGGGUUGUUAAGUCAGUUGUGAAAGUUUGCGGCUCAACCGUAAAAUUGCAAUUGAUACUGGCAGUCUUGAGUACAGUUGAGGUAGGCGGAAUUCGUGGGGUAGCGGUGAAAUGCUUAGAUAUCACGAAGAACCCCGAUUGCGAAGGCAGCUUACUAAACUGUGACUGACAUUGAUGCUCGAAAGUGUGGGUAGCAAACAGGAUUAGAUACCCGAGUAGUC
rnacentral:rRNA from 1 species